rnacentral:misc_RNA from 1 species
UCGUACAAUGAGGUGUGAAGGCUGUCGCUGACUUUUCAAAAAGGUUGUGCACGCCCGAGCACUCUCACACAUCCAUCUCACCCCUUUGUGCAUCACCGCGUGGGUCCACCUUUUGCAGGAGGGCUUGCGUUUUCACACAAAACUAGAUACAGUGUAGAAUGUUCUUGCGAUGACUCGCAAUAAAUA